CCUGAAAGGGUAGGGUGCCCGCAAGGGAGCGUGGAGACAGGUGGUGCAUGGCUGUCGUCAGCUCGUGUCGUGAGGUGUUGGGUUAAGUCCCGCAACGAGCGCAACCCUCACCCCUAGUUGCCACCGGGUAAAGCCGAGCGCUCGAGGGGAACUGCCAGCGUCAAGCUGGAGGAAGGCGGGGAUGACGUCAAGUCAUCAUGCCCCUUACGUCCUGGGCUACACACGUGCUACAAUGGCCAGUACAGAGGGAUGCGAGACCGCGAGGUGGAGCCAAUCCCAAAAAGCUGGUCUAAGUUCAGAUUGCAGUCUGCAACUCGACUGCAUGAAGUAGGAAGCGCUAGUAAUCGCGCAUCAGCACGGCGCGGUGAAUACGUUCCCGGGCCUUGUACACACCGCCCGUCACACCACGAAAGCUGG
rnacentral:rRNA from 1 species